CCCUUAGAUGUUCUGGGCCGCACGCGCGCUACACUGAUCCAUUCAACGAGUUUCUUCCUGGUCCGAGAGGAAUGGGUAACCUUUUGAAAGUGCAUCGUGAUAGGGAUAGACUAUUGCAAUUAUUGGUCUUCAACGAGGAAUUCCUAGUAGACGUAGUUCAUCAGACUGCAUCGAUUACGUCCCUGCCCUUUGUACACACCGCCCGUCGCUCCUACCGAUUGAAUGCUCAGGUGAGCCAUUCGGACUUUCAUCAUGCUGGUUUCCAGUUUUGAUGAAGGAAAGUCUUGCGAACCUUAUCAUUUAGAGGAAGGAGAAGUCGUAACA
rnacentral:rRNA from 1 species